rnacentral:piRNA from 1 species
UCUUUUCGGCCUUUUGCUCCUUACCGGUAGU